rnacentral:rRNA from 1 species
AGCCGCCGCGGGAGUCACUUUAAGUGAUUCGCUCACCCUCGCAGGUUCGCAGCACUCUGUAUGCGCCAUUGUAGCACGUGUGUAGCCCUACACGUAAGGGCCAUGAUGACUUGACGUCGUCCCCACCUUCCUCCGGAUUAUCACCGGCAGUCUCCUUAGAGUUCCCGACCGAAUCGCUGGCAACUAAGGAUAGGGGUUGCGCUCGUUGCGGGACUUAACCCAACAUCUCACAACACGAGCUGACGACAGCCAUGCAGCACCUGUAUUCAUGAGUUCCCGAAGGCACCAAACCAUCUCUGGUAAGUUCUCUGUAUGUCAAGUAGUAGGUAAGGUUCUUCGCUGUUGCAUCGAAUUAAACCACAUGCUCCACCGUUUGUGCGGCCCCCCGCCAAUUCAUUUGAGUUUUAACCCUUGCGGCUCGUACUUCCCAGGCGGUCUACUUAAUGCGUUAGCUUUGAAAAACAAGUUCCGAAAAACCCGAGCCUUUUAGUAGACAUCUGUUUACCGGCGUGGGACUACCAAGGCAUUAUAAACCCUGUUGCUCCCCA